rnacentral:rRNA from 1 species
AGCUAUGUACGGAAUGGAUAAGCGCUGAAAGCAUCUAAGCGCGAAGCCAACUUCAAGAUAAGAUUUCCCACCGCAAGGGUAAGACCCCAGAAAGACUAUCUGGUUGAUAGGUCGAAGGUGUAAGUGCAGCAAUGUAUUUAGCUUAUCGAUACUAAUAGGUCGAGGACUUGACCAAU